GCCCUGAUGCAUGCCUCCUGGUAGCUGUGGAGGAUCACGAUGGCUACCACACUGAACUGGGAGGACGGAAACAAACAAAUACAGAUACAGAGAGAAACAAGAGUAAUAUCUGAAAAUACCAUCUAGCUACAGUGUUCAAGUAAGAGGAGAAACCAAGCAGGCUUUGGGCUACAGAGUAUAGAGACAAGAGAGAACAGGAAGAUGACAUCCAGGGAAGAAGCCAGAAAGCUCCCAGAGAAUGCAACAAAAAGCACCACUCUCAGGAUGUCGAGAUGCAAGACAUGGCCCCAGCUAUGAUGAUACCAGGACAUGCCAGAGGAGGGCAGGCGAGUCAUAGCCCGGGGCUUUAAAGUAAGCCUGUGGAGUUCCCAUUGUGGCUCAGAGGUAGCAAACAUGACUAGUAUCCAUGAGGACUCGGGUUUGAUCCCUGGCCUCGCUCAGCGGGUUAAGGGUCCAGUGUUGCUGGGAGAGCGUCAGUGUAGGUUGCAGAUGAGGCUUGGAUCCCAAAUUGCUGUGGCUGUGGCUGGCAGCUGCAGCUCCAAUUUGAUCCCUAGCCUGGGAAACUCCAUAUGCCAUAGGUGUAGCCCUAAAAAGACAAAAAAAAAAAAAAAAAAAAAGAAAGCCUAUGNAAAAUUGGGUUCAGAUGAAGGCCUCGUGUGUGAUUAAAUCAUGUCCUUAAAGUGUUUUCCUACUCUUAUCUGUUUCUCUAAUGGUCUCCCUUCCUGGAUUACACGUUCCUCAGGGACUGAGCCAUGCACAUUCUUUUUUUAGGGCUGCACCCUCAGCAUAUGGACAUUCCCAGGCUAGGGGUCUAAAACAAGCUGUAGCAGCCAGCCUACACCACAGUCACUGCACUGCCAGACCCAAACCGCAUCUUCGACCUACACCACAGCUCAGGGCAAUGCCAGAUCCUGAACGCACUGACCAAGGCUAGGGAUGGAACCCGCAACCUCAUGGUUCCCAGUUGGAUUGGUUUCCGCUGCGCCACGACAGGAACUCCGACACUUCAUUUUUAUAGUAUAUUUACCCUCUGCAAAAAUUCUUCAAAGCACAAAAUAAUAACAUGUAAGGGUGGGAUCUAGGUUAUACCAACAGCAAAGAAAACAUAAGGAAGGGGGAGAAGAUUAUUGCAGAGAAACCAGUUCUCACUGUUUCCAUUUAUGGAGAAGUGUAUGAUUUUUGCCAAGGAAUUACACACAGCAGACUGACUCCUUUUUUAGCUUCUAAAUCAAAGUUGGAGAGGGACAUGGUUUGGAACCACUUCAGCUGUGUUUUUUGAAGUUGCUCGGGGACCCUUAGGUGAAGGGCGGUGUGUAAAUCCAAAUAAAUAUUCUUGUUAUUUCAUUAUUGUUGUGAUGAGUUAUGCUGUCAGGAAUCCCGGUGUUGGAAUCAGGCUGGGAGCACAAGGGGGAUGCCGAAUCACCCAAAGAUUGUAUUUUACAGCUGUAAACACCCUGAAGAACUCCUGGCAGAGGAUCUUCAGCUGUAAAUUUACAACCUUCACAGGCAUCCAAGCUUUGU
rnacentral:lncRNA from 1 species